rnacentral:rRNA from 1 species
AGUGAACGCUGGCGGUAGGCCUAACACAUGCAAGUCGAACGGCAGCACAGUAAGAGCUUGCUCUUACGGGUGGCGAGUGGCGGACGGGUGAGGAAUACAUCGGAAUCUACUUUUUCGUGGGGGAUAACGUAGGGACACUUACGCUAAUACCGCAUACGACCUACGGGUGAAAGCAGGGGAUCUUCGGACCUUGCGCGAUUGAAUGAGCCGAUGUCAGAUUAGCUAGUUGGCGGGGUAACGGCCCACCAAGGCGACGAUCCGUAGCUGGUCUGAGAGGAUGAUCAGCCACACUGGAACUGAGACACGGUCCAGACUCCUACGGGAGGCAGCAGUGGGGAAUAUUGGACAAUGGGCGCAAGCCUGAUCCAGCCAUACCGCGUGGGUGAAGAAGGCCUUCGGGUUGUAAAGCCCUUUUGUUGGGAAAGAAAAGCAGCAGGUUAAUACCCCGCUGUUCUGACGGUACCCAAAGAAUAAGCACCGGCUAACUUCGUG